rnacentral:rRNA from 1 species
UGAUGACGAGACGCUAAGGCGUUGAAGCAGUGUAUGUCAGACUUCCAAGAAAAGCUCGCAAUGUCACAAAUAAAAAGUGCCUGUACCAUAACCGACACAGGUGGGUAGGUAGAGUAUACUAAGGGGCGCGAGAUAACUCUCUCUAAGGAACUCGGCAAAAUGACUCCGUAACUUCGGGAGAAGGAGUGCCUUAUUUAUAAGGUUGCAAUAACAAGAUCCAAGCAACUGUUUAUCAGAAACACAGGUCUCCGCUAAGUCGUAAGACGAUGUAUGGGGGCUGACGCCUGCCCAGUGCCAGAAGGUUAAAGAAGUUGGUUAGUGUAUGCGAAGCUGAUGACUGAAGCCCUGGUGAACGGCGGCCGUAACUAUAACGGUCCUAAGGUAGCGAAAUUCCUUGUCGGGUAAGUUCCGACCCGCACGAAAGGCGUAAUGAUUUGGAUACUGUCUCGGAGAGAGGCUCGGUGAAAUAGACUUGUCUGUGAAGAUGCGGACUACCUGCACCGGGACAGAAAGACCCUAUGAAGCUUUACUGUAACUUGAAAUUGGAAUUGGACUUUGCUUGCGCAGUAUAGGUGGGAAGCGUUGAAAAUAUUCUUGCGGGAGUAUUGGAGCUAUCAGUGAGAUACCACUCUUGUAAUGUUAGAUUUCUAACUUUGAACCAUAAUCUGGUCAAAGAACAGUUUCAGGUGGGCAGUUUGAUUGGGGCGGUCGCCUCCCAAAUGGUAACGGAGGCGUACAAAGGUUUCCUCUGAACGGAUAGAAAUCGUAUCUAGAGUGUAAAGGCAUAAGGAAGCUUGACUGUGUGACCUACAAGUCGAGCAGGGACGAAAGUCGGUCUUAGUGAUCUGACGGUACUGAGUGGAAAGGCCGUCACUCAACGGAUAAAAGUUACUCUAGGAUAACAGGCUGAUCUCCCCCAAGAGUUCACAUCGACGGGGAGGUUUGGCACCUCGAUGUCGGCUCAUCGCAUCCUGGGGCGGUAGUACGUCCCAAGGGUUGGGCUGUUCGCCCAUGAAAGCGGUACGCGAGCUGGGUUCAGAACGUCGUGAGACAGUUCGGUCCAUAUCCGGUGUAGGCGCUAGAAUAUUGAGAGGAGCCUUCUUUAGUACGAGAGGACCGAGAAGGACACACCGCUGGUGUACCAGUUAUCGUGCCAACGGUAAACGCUGGGUAGCUAUGUGUGGAGUGGAUAACCGCUGAAAGCAUCUAAGUGGGAAGCCCACCUCGAGAUGAG